GACGAACGCUGGCGGCGUGCUUAACACAUGCAAGUCGAACGAUGAACUUGGAGCUUGCUCUGGGGGAUUAGUGGCGAACGGGUGAGUAACACGUGAGUAACCUGCCCUGGACUCUGGGAUAACUUCGAGAAAUCGGAGCUAAUACCGGAUAGGACCUUGCACCGCAUGGUGUGGGGUGGAAAGUUUUUCGGUUUGGGAUGGACUCGCGGCCUAUCAGCUUGUUGGUGAGGUAAUGGCUCACCAAGGCGUCGACGGGUAGCCGGCCUGAGAGGGUGACCGGCCACACUGGGACUGAGACACGGCCCAGACUCCUACGGGAGGCAGCAGUGGGGAAUAUUGCACAAUGGGCGCAAGCCUGAUGCAGCAACGCCGCGUGCGGGAUGACGGCCUUCGGGUUGUAAACCGCUUUUAGUAGGGAAGAAGCCUUCGGGUGACGGUACCUGCAGAAAAAGGACCGGCUAACUACGUGCCAGCCGCCGCGGUAA
rnacentral:rRNA from 1 species